rnacentral:rRNA from 1 species
UGAGUAGCAAUAUUUGCCAGUCAUAGUGGCGCAAGGGUGCGUAACACGUGGGCAAUUUGCCGCGAAGACUGGGAUAACCGCGAGAAAUCGUGGCUAAUACCAGAUGUAACUCCUGGAAGGCAUCUAUCAGGAUUCAAAGCUGGGGAGCUGGCGAAAGUCAGUCCUGGCGCUUUGCGAUGAGCCCGCGGCCUAUCAGCUUGUUGGCGGGGUAACGGCCCACCAAGGCUAAGACGGGUAGCUGGUCUGAGAGGACGACCAGCCACACUGGAACUGAGACACGGUCCAGACACCUACGGGUGGCAGCAGUCGAGAAUUUUUCACAAUGGGCGAAAGCCUGAUGGAGCGACGCCGCGUGGGGGAUGAAUGGCUUCGGCCCGUAAACCCCUGUCAUUCGCGAACAAACCUCCGGCAUGAAUAGUGUCGGAGUUGAUGGUAGCGGAAGAGGAAGGGACGGCUAACUCUGUGCCAGCAGCCGCGGUAAUACAGAGGUCCCAAGCGUUGUUCGGAUUCACUGGGCGUAAAGGGUGCGUAGGUGGUCGGGUAAGUUUAAGGUGAAAGCUCCGGGCUCAACCCGGAAAUGGCCUUGAAUACUAUCCGGCUCGAGGGUUGGAGGGGGGACUGGAAUUCUCGGUGUAGCAGUGAAAUGCGUAGAUAUCGAGAGGAACACCAGUGGCGAAGGCGAGUCCCUGGACAACACCUGACACUGAGGCGCGAAAGCUAGGGGAGCAAACGGGAUUAGAUACCCCAAUAGUCCUAGCCUUAAACGGUGCGCACUUGCUGUGGGCGGAUUCGACCCCGU